UACGUAGGAUGCGAGCGUUAUCCGGAUUUAUUGGGUUUAAAGGGUGCGUAGGCGGAAUAUCAAGUCAGCGGUAAAAAUUCGGGGCUCAACCCCGUCGUGCCGUUGAAACUGAUGUUCUUGAGUGGGCGAGAGGUAUGCGGAAUGCGUGGUGUAGCGGUGAAAUGCAUAGAUAUCACGCAGAACUCCGAUUGCGAAGGCAGCAUACCGGCGCCCAACUGACGCUGAAGCACGAAAGCGUGGGUAUCGAACGGG
rnacentral:rRNA from 1 species